rnacentral:rRNA from 1 species
AACGAACGCUGGCGGCAGGCUUAACACAUGCAAAUCGAGCGCCCCGCAAGGGGAGCGGCAGACGGGGAGUAACGCGUGGGAAUCUACCCAUCUCUACGGAAUAACGCAUGGAAACGUGUGCUAAUACCGUAUACGUCCUUCGGGAGAAAGAUUUAUCGGAGAUGGAUGAGCCCGCGUUGGAUUAGCUAGUUGGUGGGGUAAAGGCCUACCAAGGCGACGAUCCAUAGCUGGUCUGAGAGGAUGAUCAGCCACACUGGGACUGAGACACGGCCCAGACUCCUACGGGAGGCAGCAGUGGGGAAUAUUGGACAAUGGGCGCAAGCCUGAUCCAGCCAUGCCGCGUGAGUGAUGAAGGCCCUAGGGUUGUAAAGCUCUUUCACCGGUGAAGAUAAUGACGGUAACCGGAGAAGAAGCCCCGGCUAACUUCGUGCCAGCAGCCGCCGUAAAAC